rnacentral:rRNA from 6 species
GGAUACGGCCAUACUGCGCAGAAAGCACCGCUUCCCAUCCGAACAGCGAAGUUAAGCUGCGCCAGGCGGUGUUAGUACUGGGGUGGGCGACCACCCGGGAAUCCACCGUGCUGUAUCCUUUU